rnacentral:rRNA from 1 species
AACACACCACCGAAGCUAUGACCUGAACAAGUAAUUGUUCUUGGGUAGGGGAGCGUUGUAUGUAGGUUGAAGGUGUACUGUAAAGAGCGCUGGACAGCAUACAAGUGAGAAUGCCGGUAUGAGUAACGAAAAGAUCAGUGAGAAUCUGAUCCGCCGAAAGCCUAAGGGUUCCUGAGGAAGGCUCGUCCGCUCAGGGUAAGUCGGGACCUAAGGCGAGGCCGAAAGGCGUAGUCGAAGGACAACAGGUUGAAAUUCCUGUACCACCGUGAACCGUUAUGAGCAAUGGGGUGACGCAGAAGGAUAGUGACGCGGACUGAUGGAUGUCCGUCCAAGCAGAGAGGCUGGUGUGUAGGCAAAUCCGCACAUCGUAAGGCUGGUCUGUGAUGGGGAGUGAAAAUUACAGUAGCGAAGGUCAUGAGUUCAGGCUGCCAAGAAAAGCCUCUAGCCAGGGAGAAGGUGCCCGUACCGCAAACCGACACAGGUAGGCGAGCAGAGCAUGCUAAGGCGCGCGGAAGAACUCUCGUUAAGGAACUCGGCAAAAUGACCCCGUAACUUCGGGAGAAGGGGUGCCUCGGUAGGGUGAAUAGCCCGAGGGGGCCGCAGUGAAAAGGCCCAAGCGACUGUUUAGCAAAAACACAGGUCUGUGCGAAGCCGCAAGGCGAAGUAUACGGGCUGACGCCUGCCCGGUGCUGGAAGGUUAAGGGGAGUGGUUAGGGGUAACCCGAAGCUAUGAACCGAAGCCCCAGUAAACGGCGGCCGUAACUAUAACGGUCCUAAGGUAGCGAAAUUCCUUGUCAGGUAAAUUCUGACCCGCACGAAUGGCGUAACGACUUGGGCGCUGUCUCAACGAGAGAUCCGGUGAAAUUUUAAUACCUGUGAAGAUGCAGGUUACCCGCGACAAGACGGAAAGACCCCAUGGAGCUUUACUGCAGCUUGAUAUUGGACUUUGGUACGAUCUGUACAGGAUAGGUGGGAGCCUGAGAAACCUGAGCGCCAGCUUGGGUGGAGGCGACGUUGGGAUACCACCCUGAUCGUAUCGGAGUUCUAACCUGGUACCGUAGAUCCGGUACGGGGACAGUGUCAGGUGGGCAGUUUGACUGGGGCGGUCGCCUCCUAAAAAGUAACGGAGGCGCCCCAAGGUUCCCUCAGAAUGGUUGGAAAUCAUUCGAAGAGUGCAAAGGCAUAAGGGAGCUUGACUGCGAGACAAACAGGUCGAGCAGGGACGAAAGUCGGGCUUAGUGAUCCGGUGGUACCGCAUGGAAGGGCCAUCGCUCAACGGAUAAAAGCUACCCUGGGGAUAACAGGCUUAUCUCCCCCAAGAGUCCACAUCGACGGGGAGGUUUGGCACCUCGAUGUCGGCUCAUCGCAUCCUGGGGCUGAAGUAGGUCCCAAGGGUUGGGCUGUUCGCCCAUUAAAGCGGUACGCGAGCUGGGUUCAGAACGUCGUGAGACAGUUCGGUCCCUAUCUGUCGUGGGCGUAGGAAAUUUGAGAGGAGCUGUCCUUAGUACGAGAGGACCGGGAUGGACGUACCGCUGGUGUACCAGUUGUUCCGCCAGGAGCACGGCUGGAUAGCUACGUACGGACGGGAUAAGCGCUGAAAGCAUCUAAGCGUGAAGCCCCCCUCAAGAUGAGAUUUCCCAGUAUGUAAGACCCCUUGAAGACGACGAGGUAGAUAGGUUCGGGGUGGAAGUGCCGUAAGGUAUGGAGCUGACGAAUACUAAUCGGUCGAGGGCUUAUCCAAGAA